GACUCACGCAGGAAUCUUACCGGGUCCGGACACACUGAGGAUUGACAGAUACAGUGAAAAAUAUGAUAGCUCUUUCAUAAUUAUGUGAUAGGUGGUGCAUGGCCGUUCUUAGUUCGUGGAGUGAUCUGUCUGCUUAAUUGCGUUGGUAUAUAUAAUGCAUGUUAAUUGCAUUUUUACCAUGCAACGAACGUGACCGCAACCUCUUGUUGCACUAUAGCUUCUCAUGGUGCAAAACUAGAGGGACCGCUGUAUUUAUUUCUUUUAGCCAGAGGAAGGAUGCGGCAAUAACAG
rnacentral:rRNA from 1 species